rnacentral:rRNA from 1 species
UACAGAGGGUGCGAGCGUUAAUCGGAAUUACUGGGCGUAAAGCGCGCGUAGGCGGCUUUUCAAGUCGAUUGUGAAAUCCCCCGGGCUUUAACCUGGGAACUGCAGUCGAGACUGUCUAGCUAGAGUAUGGGAGAGGGAAGUGGAAUUUCAGGUGUAGCGGUGAAAUGCGUAGAUAUCUGAAGGAACAUCAGUGGCGAAAGCGACUUCCUGGACCAAUACUGACGCUCAUGUGCGAAAGCGUGGGGAGCAAACAGG